rnacentral:rRNA from 1 species
CCUACGGGGGGCAGCAGUGAGGAAUAUUUGUCAAUGGACGAGAGUCUGAACCAGCCAAGUAGCGUGAAGGAUGACUGCCCUAUGGGUUGUAAACUUCUUUUAUAUGGGAAUAAAACGUUCCACGUGUGGGAUUUUGUAUGUACCAUAUGAAUAAGGAUCGGCUAACUCCGUGCCAGCAGCCGCGGUAAUACGGAGGAUCCGAGCGUUAUCCGGAUUUAUUGGGUUUAAAGGGAGCGUAGGUGGAUUGUUAAGUCAGUUGUGAAAGUUUGCGGCUCAACCGUAAAAUUGCAGUUGAAACUGGCAGUCUUGAGUACAGUAGAGGUGGGCGGAAUUCGUGGUGUAGCGGUGAAAUGCUUAGAUAUCACGAAGAACUCCGAUUGCGAAGGCAGUUCACUGGACUGCAACUGACACUGAGGCUCGAAAGUGUGGGUAUCAAACAGGAUUAGAUACCCCAGUAGUC